UGAGGAAUAUUGGACAAUGGGUUAGCGCCUGAUCCAGCCAUCCCGCGUGAAGGACGACGGCCCUAUGGGUUGUAAACUUCUUUUGUAUAGGGAUAAACCUUUCCUCGUGAGGAAAGCUGAAGGUACUAUACGAAUAAGCACCGGCUAACUCCGUGCCAGCAGCCGCGGUAAUACGGAGGGUGCAAGCGUUAUCCGGAUUUAUUGGGUUUAAAGGGUCCGUAGGCGGACUCGUAAGUCAGUGGUGAAAUCUCACAGCUCAACUGUGAAACUGCCAUUGAUACUGCGGGUCUUGAGUAAGGUAGAAGUGGCUGGAAUAAGUAGUGUAGCGGUGAAAUGCAUAGAUAUUACUUAGAACACCAAUUGCGAAGGCAGGUCACUAUGUCUUAACUGACGCUGAUGGACGAAAGCGUGGGGAGCGAACAGG
rnacentral:rRNA from 1 species